UCUCUCAUUCAUAGCCGUUGCCAUUACCGCUACGUGUGGGUUGGCCUGGAAUGCCACCUUCCCUUUGCUCUGGGAGGGCUUGCUUCAGGACGACCGGCUUGGGCCGCGCUGGGAGCAUCCUGGGCACAGGCGUUGGACGUCCUGCAUUGUGGGAUUUCCAUCCCUAGCACAGACCUCGCUCCACACUAGUGGAACUGCCCCGACAUGAGGAGCCUGAAUGGACUGAGGCAGAAGGUGUGAGGAUCCAGAACAAGGUGACGAGUCUCUGACAGAAUGGAUCGGAUUCUAGCAUCAGUAGGCACUGGCCACUUGCCAGGGGCCAAUGGCUCCCAGUGGAUCCUAGGACAGGGGGCUGCCUGGAUUCCCUUCUCCCCGUGCCCUGGUCUGUGAACCAGUAAAACCCUGCUCUGUGGCAUUUGCUGGUUUCCAUGGCAUAAACACUUCCGCUGUGGCUGCCUUUCUGCUCUGUGCACCGUGACGUCACUGACAGUGGCGCUCGGAAGAGAUGCACAGCGGGCUCUUAUGACGGGGAUGAGCUCACCCCAGCCCACAAGUUGGAGCCCAGGUUAAGCCCCAGAAGUCAGAUUGCAGACUCGCAGAGCAUCAGGACUCAAGAGGCAAGGGACGGCAGCAACAAGGGAAAACCGCCCGGCUCCUCAGGAAGGCAGCUCCGAGCCCGGGCUGGGCCUGUCUUCUCCCAGAAGCCUCCGCUUGGACAGCGACGAGUCCCGUCCUAAUCACGGAUUCUUGCAAGCACCCAGCUGCGGCAACCUGCUAUUUUUGCUCUGCGCCCUUGCUUGGGGUCCGUGUGUGUGAGCGUGUGUGUUCGUGCCUGUGGAGGCAGACUGAGACGUCUCCG